rnacentral:rRNA from 1 species
GUGGGGAAUAUUGGACAAUGGGCGAAAGCCUGAUCCAGCAAUGCCGCGUGAGUGAUGAAGGCCCUAGGGUUGUAAAGCUCUUUUACCCGGGAUGAUAAUGACAGUACCGGGAGAAUAAGCUCCGGCUAACUCCGUGCCAGCAGCCGCGGUAAUACGGAGGGAGCUAGCGUUGUUCGGAAUUACUGGGCGUAAAGCGCGCGUAGGCGGUCCAUCAAGUCAGAGGUGAAAGCCCGGGGCUCAACCCCGGAACUGCCUUUGAAACUGGCGGACUAGAAUCUUGGAGAGGUCAGUGGAAUUCCGAGUGUAGAGGUGAAAUUCGUAGAUAUUCGGAAGAACACCAGUGGCGAAGGCGACUGACUGGACAAGUAUUGACGCUGAGGUGCGAAAGCGUGGGGAGCAAACAGGAUUAGAAACCCCUGUAGUCC